rnacentral:rRNA from 1 species
CCCUUAGAUGUCCUGGGCCGCACGCGCGCUACACUGACAUGUUCAACAAGUUUCUCCUAGUUCGACAGGACUGGGAAAUCUUUGAACGCAUGUCGUGAUAGGGAUAGAUCAUUGCAAUUAUUGAUCUUGAACGAGGAAUUCCUAGUAAACGCGAGUCAUCAGCCCGCAUUGAUUACGUCCCCGCCCUUUGUACACACCGCCCGUCGCACCUACCGAUUGAAUGUUUCGGUGAAGAUUCCGGAUAGGACUGAUUUGAUUUAUUUCAUUUCUGACCUAAAAGCUAUCUAAACCUCAACAUUUAGAGGAAGGUGAAGUCGUAACA